AAAGAGAAAAAAAAAAACAAAGAAAACAAAACAAAGACAUCCCGAUUUCUGAGCCUGUAACCUCUUUUCAGUGAUGGGGUGCGGGGGGGGAUAACCCACACCAUCUCAGAGAGCUGGAGAAAUGUUCUGCCCAUUCCUCAGCCUCACCCUGCUUCCCCCUGACAACAAACACCUCCUCAGCACGUCAAGAUUCCCGCAAAAACACCCCGCGUGAGAACUGCUCUGGUGCGUACUUGAAAUCGUUGGCAACGAAGGGGUGUUGGGUGCAAGAGGUACGCUCGGGGCAGUGAGGGGUGCCUGGGGCGAGGAUGGGUGCUUGGGGCAAGGAACCUGAAGCGGAGCUUUCUCCUCAGGACUGAGGGCAAGGAAAGAGCUUUCUUUAACAGGGAGGGAGGUAUUAUGUUAUUACAGUAAGGGACGGAGCCUGCCCGUCCUUCCCGGCCCCUCAGGCGGCGGAGGCGCGGCCGCCGGGCUCCCCCUGGAGGUGGCGGGGGGCGGCGGCGGCGGGCAGCGCUGGGCUGCGGCGGCGGGGCCGCGGCCCUCCCUCGCUUGGCAGCUGGAGUAGUAGUAAUGCUAAUGAUAAAAAUUAAAACAACGAAGCCGUUGUUGUUGCUGCUGUUGUUGUUGUUGUUAGUUUAGGGAAUUCACCAGCAAUCGUUGCGUGGACAGCCCCCCUUUAAAGAAGGCUCCGGAAUAGGAGCCAGCCGGGCAGGGCCCGUUGUCUCCCGGCACGGCUUUCCCAAGGAGAGCGGAUCCAUGCCGUCCUCCUGCAGGCAAAGUUGGAUCUGCAUGGCACUUGCGUGCCUGCGAACUGCAGGAUUGCGGGAUCGGGGAUCUGCGGCCACGCUGCUGUUGAAGGAGACCAAAUUUAAGCACAAGAAGAUUACAUAAGGAGGCUCAGUAUCAAUGUUCGACAUUAAGAAGAGUCGUGUAUUUGCUGCCCAUCAUUGACAAACCACCAUCAGCAUAAAAUCACAACAGCAAUAUUCUUUGUGGUGCCUAGCACCUUGGCAUUUAGAAAGUCAAAAUUGUGUUUGGGGUGAAGAAUUCAUGGGAAUAAAAGGACUUUCUGAUCUGCAGGCAUCAAAGAAAUAUGCUUCUCAAAUAUUCAUCAAGUAUAACUCCUGUUUUUUCAGCGCUUCAUGCAGCACGGCAGAUUCAUGAUUCCCUUGAUCUCUCUGAAGGGAGACUCCCAGGCCUCUCACACCUAACCUUUGGCUUUGAAAUCUGCUGACCAGGAAAAGGAGAGCUCCUAAAAUAAGGUGGUGUGUUCUAUGUAGCAAAGGCUUGAACCUUUUGUUCUUCCGGAAGCUCUCUGGGAAUCAGUAAGGCACAAGUUUGAACUCUUUAGCAAGUGCAUAGCCAACUUCUAUAACAGCCAAAACUUGCAUGUUAUGUUCACAUUCAGCUUCAGACAUGACACAACUCAAUAAUCCAUCCUGGAGCUGACAAAAACCAUCUGAUCCUUGUCUGGACCAUGUUUCCAAGCAAGCUGAAGAGAAAAUAAAGUACUUUGAGGAACAGAUGAUACCUUGCUGAGAAAAGGAAAAAAAUAUGUCUCUGAAGCCUCUGCACUUCCCUGUGUCUGUUCACCCACUCUCUCUUUUCACUUUUCUCUGUAUGAGAAACAGGUUUCCAAAGGAAAAAGAACAGCCUAUAUCUCACCUGGAGAGAAGGGAAGAGAACCAGAUUUAUUGAUUUCUUGUCACAGAAUUGGCCAGCAUACCACCAAAAAUGGGACCCUCAUCUUUCAGGAAAGACCGAUAAGGAACAUCCUCAAGGUUCGACAAGAUGUGAGGAAGCAGUCACAACCACAAGGCUCAAAAUAUAGCCAUCCUUACAGCUCCUGUGGAUUUUUCAAAUUUGAAACUGUGUGCCUCAGUCUCAUAACUGGCAAUUACUGCUGACUGAUAGAUCAUGGGGAUGAAAUUAGAAGUGAGAUUCACUUUCAGUCUUGAUGUGGGACCUGUCUUUUCCAUUGGAGCAUAAUACAUACACACAGUAAAUGUAUAUCUGUUGUAAUCAUAAAGCAUACAAAUAAUUUAUGAGACUAAAAAAAAUGGUGUGUUUUUUCCUCAAGAACAAGAAAGGCACAUUCAUGUCUAAGGUUUUGUUUGGCUGUUAUAAAUGACAUUUAUAUAAAUGACAUUUGAUGGCAGGCAUGUGCAUAUACAUCUAUAUGUUUCUGUGUGUAAUGAUAUAUUCUGGGUCACUGAAAUCACAUGGACAUGUCUCCCACCUCCCAGUUUUUCCACACAGCAUGCUCUCACACAGUUCCCUGAAACUUGCCAAGUCCUACAAUAUUUGUAUAUUAGUUAUUCUUUCAUUACAAGUACUCUGCUAUGGCUAAUGAACCUGUACCUCACUCCCUGAAUAGCAAGAAAAGUUAUUUUGGUGGGCUGCUUCCAUCUGACAACAUUUACAGUGUGUACCCAGGAAGAUCUAAAGCAUUAGUAAAGCUAAAUGCCAGAAAGAAGAGAAUUUGGAUUAUCUGCAUUGAGCAGAUCAUGGAUUCACAACAGCAGAAGGGGAUGCUUUCUUACAUCAGCUUCACCAAAUGUCCAGUGAAUUUUCUACACAGUAAA